rnacentral:rRNA from 1 species
GACGAACGCUGGCGGCGUGCUUAACACAUGCAAGUCGAACGGAAAGGCCCUGCUUUUGUGGGGUGCUCGAGUGGCGAACGGGUGAGUAACACGUGAGUAACCUGCCCUUGACUUUGGGAUAACUUCAGGAAACUGGGGCUAAUACCGGAUAGGAGCUCCUGCUGCAUGGUGGGGGUUGGAAAGUUUCGGCGGUUGGGGAUGGACUCGCGGCUUAUCAGCUUGUUGGUGGGGUAGUGGCUUACCAAGGCUUUGACGGGUAGCCGGCCUGAGAGGGUGACCGGCCACAUUGGGACUGAGGUACGGCCCAGAGUCCUACGGGAGGCAGCAGGGGGGAAUAUUGCACAAUGGGCGGAAGCCUGAUGCAGCAACGCCGCGUGCGGGAUGACGGCCUUCGGGUUGUAAACCGCUUUCGCCUGUGACGAAGCGUGAGUGACGGUAAUGGGUAAAGAAGCACCGGCUAACUACGUG